rnacentral:rRNA from 1 species
UACGUAGGGGGCAAGCGUUGUCCGGAUUUAUUGGGCGUAAAGAGCGUGUAGGCGGCCAGGCAGGUCCGCUGUGAAAACUCGAGGCUCAACCUCGAGAGGUCGGUGGAAACCGUCUGGCUAGAGUCCGGAAGAGGAGAGUGGAAUUCCCGGUGUAGCGGUGAAAUGCGCAGAUAUCGGGAGGAACACCAGUGGCGAAGGCGGUUGCCUGGGGCUUUGCUGACGCUGAUGCGCGAAAGCGUGGGGAGCGAUCCGG